rnacentral:rRNA from 1 species
AUGGAUCCAAGCCCAUCAAUUAUUUGCUGGAAUGUGAGAGGGCUGAACAACCCAGCCAAACGAGACGCUGUGCGAGGUUUUGUGAGCACUAUUAGAGCAAACGUAGCUUGCUUACAGGAGACUAAACUUGAUGUAAUCGAUCGCUACUCAGUUAUGCAAUGUUUGGGGCCGUCGUUUGAUGGCUAUGCCUACUUGCCGGCUGUUGAGACUAGGGGAGGAAUCCUACUUGCUUGGGAUUCU